GAUGAACGCUGGCGGCGUGCCUAAUACAUGCAAGUCGAGCGAACGGACGAGAAGCUUGCUUCUCUGAUGUUAGCGGCGGACGGGUGAGUAACACGUGGAUAACCUACCUAUAAGACUGGGAUAACUUCGGGAAACCGGAGCUAAUACCGGAUAAUAUUUUGAACCGCAUGGUUCAAAAGUGAAAGACGGUCUUGCUGUCACUUAUAGAUGGAUCCGCGCUGCAUUAGCUAGUUGGUAAGGUAACGGCUUACCAAGGCAACGAUGCAUAGCCGACCUGAGAGGGUGAUCGGCCACACUGGAACUGAGACACGGUCCAGACUCCUACGGGAGGCAGCAGUAGGGAAUCUUCCGCAAUGGGCGAAAGCCUGACGGAGCAACGCCGCGUGAGUGAUGAAGGUCUUCUGAUCGUAAAACUCUGUUAUUAGGGAAGAACAUAUGUGUAAGUAACUGUGCACAUCUUGACGGUACCUAAUCAGAAAGCCACGGCUAACUACGUGCCAGCAGCCGCGGUAAUACGUAGGUGGCAAGCGUUAUCCGGAAUUAUUGGGCGUAAAGCGCGCGUAGGCGGUUUUUUAAGUCUGAUGUGAAAGCCCACGGCUCAACCGUGGAGGGUCAUUGGAAACUGGAAAACUUGAGUGCAGAAGAGGAAAGUGGAAUUCCAUGUGUAGCGGUGAAAUGCGCAGAGAUAUGGAGGAACACCAGUGGCGAAGGCGACUUUCUGGUCUGUAACUGACGCUGAUGUGCGAAAGCGUGGGGAUCAAACAGGAUUAGAUACCCUGGUAGUCCACGCCGUAAACGAUGAGUGCUAAGUGUUAGGGGGUUUCCGCCCCUUAGUGCUGCAGCUAACGCAUUAAGCACUCCGCCUGGGGAGUACGACCGCAAGGUUGAAACUCAAAGGAAUUGACGGGGACCCGCACAAGCGGUGGAGCAUGUGGUUUAAUUCGAAGCAACGCGAAGAACCUUACCAAAUCUUGACAUCCUUUGACAACUCUAGAGAUAGAGCCUUCCCCUUCGGGGGACAAAGUGACAGGUGGUGCAUGGUUGUCGUCAGCUCGUGUCGUGAGAUGUUGGGUUAAGUCCCGCAACGAGCGCAACCCUUAAGCUUAGUUGCCAUCAUUAAGUUGGGCACUCUAAGUUGACUGCCGGUGACAAACCGGAGGAAGGUGGGGAUGACGUCAAAUCAUCAUGCCCCUUAUGAUUUGGGCUACACACGUGCUACAAUGGACAAUACAAAGGGCAGCGAAACCGCGAGGUCAAGCAAAUCCCAUAAAGUUGUUCUCAGUUCGGAUUGUAGUCUGCAACUCGACUACAUGAAGCUGGAAUCGCUAGUAAUCGUAGAUCAGCAUGCUACGGUGAAUACGUUCCCGGGUCU
rnacentral:rRNA from 1 species